CUGAGCUGACAUGAGGCAUGCAGCUCAGAGGCAGGAGCAGGAAACGUGGGGGAGAGACCUGACCUGACAUAGGGGACUCCAGAGAUCACACACACAGGAGCUGGGAUCCUACAGAGGAAGAUGACAACAAACUGACUGACUGAUCUCUUUAGAGGUCCCUGUGACGAGACCAGUUCCUAUUUCCUGAAGAAGAAGGGGCAAGAACCACGGAUAAUGAUAACUUAUCUAUCAGCUACUCAGAGAAUAGACUGGC